rnacentral:rRNA from 1 species
GAUGAACGCUGGCGGCGUGCCUAAUACAUGCAAGUCGAGCGAACGGACGAGAAGCUUGCUUCUCUGAUGUUAGCGGCGGACGGGUGAGUAACACGUGGAUAACCUACCUAUAAGACUGGGAUAACUUCGGGAAACCGGAGCUAAUACCGGAUAAUAUUUUGAACCGCAUGGUUCAAAAGUGAAAGACGGUCUUGCUGUCACUUAUAGAUGGAUCCGCGCUGCAUUAGCUAGUUGGUAAGGUAACGGCUUACCAAGGCAACGAUGCAUAGCCGACCUGAGAGGGUGAUCGGCCACCCUGGAACUGAGACACGGUCCAGACUCCUACGGGAGGCAGCAGUAGGGAAUCUUACGCAAAGGGCGAAAGCCUGACGGAGCAACGGCGCGUGAGUGAUGAAGGUCUUCGGAUCGUAAAACUCUGUUAUUAGGGAAGAACAUAUGUGUAAGUAACUGUGCACAUCUUGACGGUACCUAAUCAGAAAGCCACGGCUAACUACGUG